UCAACUAUUUGUGGCUCCUAGAACCAGUUGCAGCGGGCAAUGUUCAAGGGAAAAUAAAUAACAAUUAUGUUUAUUAAGUUGAAGCGAUUUUUGGGGGCUGUUUGAAUGCUGGCCUAUUCUCGGGAUCGGCCAACAAUAUCUGAUUGGAAGAAGUCCAACACCUAGUGCACCGCUGGUCAUCUGUUUGUUUGAGCCAUGAUGAUUCCAUGCACAGUAAAAAGAGAAGGAUAUAAGUCUCCAAGUCACUUCAGUGGGGGCUGAGCUGCAGUAACCCAGCAUGGCCACUACACAAUGUACAGAGCUGUCUGCUUCUGGCUCUGUUCCCUUAGGAGGCAGGUGCCACGUCUUUGCCACGCAGAAGGGCUAUUAGGUGUCAGGCUCCCAUCAAUCAGAUGAGCCAUCAUUCAAAAAGUCCCAGAAAAGUCUUUCAAGAUUUACAUAGCACCAACAAAUUGUGCAGUGCAAGAAAUAUGUUCAACGUCAUUGAACUCUGUCUCAAGACAUCUGUAUGUUGCACUACUGCGGUGAAAGCUGAAGCUAGAGGCUUUGACUAGUGUUGUGCAUUUGCUUGCACAACCAAUAAAGUGACUUGAAGUGGAGAGAAAAUCCUAUUUGUAUGACACGAUCCACCAGGCAAGAAGUGAUUGACAAAACCAAACAACGCAUUUCGAGGCUUUAGAGCUUCUUCAGCAGGUGAAAAGUGUGCAUGAUACUGAUGCAAAAAGUGCAAACAUAAAUACGUUCAAAACAUGGGGUUAAAAGAUUGGAUCUAGCCUAUUUGUUGGUGGGGCUAAGUUCUGUAAACAAACAUACAAGAUACUGUGGUC